rnacentral:lncRNA from 1 species
CCCUAACCCUUAUAAUACUCAAUUGAACAUUUGUACUGCAUCACCACCUCUCUCCUCCUUCCACCUCUGUCUUCUUCAAUUAGGUAAUAAAAUUCUAUGAGUAUUAUCCUUUAACCAAAAUUCAAACAUAAUCAACUAUAAACAACACUAAACAACCUAAAAUUUCAUCAAAAACACCCUUCACAUGCUUUGUUCUCGAAAAUGACUAAAGGAAGAAAAAGCAAGCUAAGGAUCCAU